rnacentral:rRNA from 1 species
UACGGAGGAUGCGAGCGUUAUCCGGAUUUAUUGGGUUUAAAGGGUGCGUAGGCGGACGCUUAAGUCAGCGGUAAAAUUGCGGGGCUCAACCUCGUCGAGCCGUUGAAACUGGGUGUCUUGAGUGGGCGAGAAGUACGCGGAAUGCGUGGUGUAGCGGUGAAAUGCAUAGAUAUCACGCAGAACUCCGAUUGCGAAGGCAGCGUACCGGCGCCCUACUGACGCUGAAGCACGAAGGCGUGGGUAUCGAACAGG